rnacentral:misc_RNA from 1 species
GCUGUGCAACUUUACUUUCUUCAGAUUUCCUCCCUGAAUUUCUUGAGUUUGAGGAACCUGCACUAGUUUGCAACUGUUCUUUAUGCUUUACACCAACUGGAAGUUUGUAGGUGCUGGUAUUGUCAACCGUGUUUUUGCCUUCCGAGUUUUCAGUCCCUUCUGCAGCUAAGCCUUCUGAAGUGUCUUUUCCUGGACCCGGAUUCCAUCUUGUGAGCAGCUCUCUUUUGAAAACAAGAGGUGCUUCAGUUGCAACAUCAGAAUUUGACAGUUCAAUCUUCCUUUCAU